UUAAUAUUUUAUUCACUGCAUGAAAAGUGGGAUUUUCGACAGCUAUUGACACCUAGUUCUGCCGCGCGCAUGGAGAUUGAGGGCUAUCGGCAAGAGGUUUUUGUCAGAGUGGAAAAUUGUAGAGCACUGCCAAGAAUGGUCAAAAAUGCUGUGUGUCCGUGUUCCCCUAUCACCCCCCUCCCCUUGUGCCUAGCAGAGGUUUUCGUAUUUAAAUGAAGUUGCUGGGAGCCAUGCAAAUGCAAAUCAACUGAGCACCGGCCUUUUGACUCUCAUUCCUGUUGUAGCUAAACCAUUUUACCUACUGUUCACCUGUUUACUAGACCCAGGACCUGGACAAAACCCCUCAGUGUUUUUAAUUGAGAAAUAAUGAGAUUUAAGUAUAAAACAGGCAUUAAUGCUGAAAAUGUUCUAAUGUUACAAAGUCACACAAAUGGAACAAAUUUAGUGUGACAUUCACCAACCAGCACUGAACACUCUUAGUUCAGCUUAGGGAUGUAACCUUAACACUUAAGUGUUCAUAUCAAAGUACAAUUUUCAGGGUAAAUCUGAUGAUAUAUUGUCAACAUUGCAUGUCUGUUAAGCUCAUUCAAGAUUGUGUGGUGGAAUGCAGACAGAGCCACCGCUGUACUCCAAGAGAAGUGUUUCUGCCAGCGUGAAAACACUGAGCUUCACAUAAAGCAUCAGUUGUGUCAUCAUGACAAAGUUCCAAUCAUUUGCACAUGUAAAAUUUUGGUCAUUAUAGUAUCACAGGCAGAUGUUCAUGGCAUACUAAUUUGAUGUUGACUCUUCUGAAAUUGUCUCCUAAUCUGGACUUUGUGAUUAAACAUUCUGGAAUACUGGCUCAAAAAAGCCUGUAUUCCAACAUUACUCCUUCAAAUGGGGAUGUAAAUACAUGUUGGUGUUGCAGUGCAAUGGGCCAAACAGUUUAACACAUUUUGAGACGUCUGUAGGUAUUGUUCAUAGAAGUAUACCAUGAAGAAGUAUGUUUGGAGAAACAAUAUUAAAACAAUAAUCUAUCUUACUCAUUAAAAUAUAUUUUGCAUGUGUGUUAGGACCACUGAAAAACUUAGUUUUGGUUGAAUUGAUGGUAUAAAAGAAGAAUAUGCAUGAUGACAUACAAUAGACUUUUGUUAAAUGUGAUCUUACUUUGACAUUCCUCCCAUUUGAAGAUUUAUCAUUGCACAACUUAAUCAAAAAUAAUAAUAAAAAACAUGUUCCAGAGUGGUUCAUUGUACAUAAAGUAUUUUUGUGAAUAAUAUUCAAACUAAUGUUAAUGUUCACUGAUUGCUUUAAAGACCCAGAGUCAUGCUAUAUUGGACCCAUAGUCAUUCUACAGGACUUAAGAAACUACAGAUGAUUUAUCAGUAUUCAGUUGCUUAACUCUCGAGUUUAAAUUGAAUAACAAAAUGGUUGAAAGUAUGUGAUACCUUCUGAUAGAGUAUAAACAUUUGUAUUCUUUUUUUUAAAGUUUUGUUAGUUAAGUACUAAAUAUAACUCACGGAUGAUGAAUCAUUAUAUUCUAUAUAAACUAAAAAGGAGACAGCUCAAAGUAGAAUUGAGUAAAUAAACAACUACACAUUUAAAAACAUUUUAGCAAUUAAUUGUCACGUAACUUUUGAAAAAAUAACUUUUUAGAAUGUAUUUUUUUUCUGUCAACUUUCAUUUAACACUCUAGUCCAGUUGGUGGCAUUAAUGCGCUUUCAUAGUCGGUCAAGCAACCGCCAUUAAACUCCAGAGGAAGAUUUGCACUGGCGCUAACGAGUGCUACUGUUAAACAUGAACGAAAAUGUCCGUGCGUUGUGUGAAAUGGUGGAAAAAGUCCUAUUUCACGGAGUUACUUUUUCAGUAUCGUUUUGAUAUCAAGCAAUGUUCCGGCGGAAAACAGCAGAUGACACCGCGGCGGUCCAACAGGCCGAACUCACGGUAAGAAAGCUUUUAUGAAUAGUGAGCACGUGCAACGAGGCGAGGUGCUUUGCUUGUUUCUUACAGAAAGCGGUCCGUUGUUUUCAUAUGCCGAAACAAGUGUAGGAUGAGAUUUUAUAUUGUAAUUUUUUUAUUACAUGUGAUGUUCUGAACUCUUAAAAAUACUCGCAUCUUCUUUUAUUUUUUUUUUCAGACCUGAAAAAUGGCCGAGCCUCAACAGCCAGGCCUCAGACCACGGUGUCGAGGCGCUCUGACGGAGUCCACCAGGACGAAGAGAAAUUCAGUAAGUUAUGAUUUCACAUUUAGUGAAUUGUGAACACUCGCAUAUUUGUAAGAAAAACUGAUCUUCCGGUUAUUUUAUUCAUUUUGUUAUAACGCAGUACAGCAAGGCAGAGUGUGGUAAGCAGUAGAGAUCGAGAACAUGGCAGACGGAUAUGAGGACGGAGCCAUGAAGCCGGUAUGUAUUAUGUACAGUCACUGCGUUGAUUCCCGAUUGUACAAUGGCUGGUUGAGAAUAAUUUUAACUUAUUUACUUAUGUAUUUUUGAGAAAGCGAUAUAUUUGCCACAAUAUUUUUUUUUUAUUUUACAUUUAUUUCCACAGAAUGGGAGUCACAUUUGUUUCAAUCAGACUCUUCAGGAACGUCCUGAUGUCCAUGACGAGGACAGAGAUGCAACUGUGUCUGCAACCAGGACCUACUGCCAGUCAUCUGGAUGUAGCUAAAGAAAGAAGCAGCUGAUGGAGGAAGGCAGAGAGUACUGGCAGCAGAGGAGGUGGCAUUCUGGGAGGAUGGCAGCUAUGAGGGGGUAUCAGGAUGGACUGUGGUGAGGUUGAGACCCCAAGUUACCCCAACCAGGAGCUCAGUGACAUUAGGUCUAUACUACAGGAAGAGACGUCAGGUCUACACUGCAGGAGAAAUGUUGGGCCUGUCCUGAACGCAGCAUAAUGUUGGAUCAUGUUUGGACAAAAAAACACUGCCAGAUAGUCCAGAAAUGGACAAGCAUUUAUGUCUUAUUUUGUGUGCAAACAGU